rnacentral:rRNA from 1 species
ACGGAGCAACGCCGCGUGAGUGAUGACGGCCUUCGGGUUGUAAAGCUCUGUGAUCGGGGACGAAUGGCUGGUGCGUUAAUACCGCAUCAGAGUGACGGUACCCGAAUAGCAAGCCACGGCUAACUACGUGCCAGCAGCCGCGGUAAUACGUAGGUGGCAAGCGUUGUCCGGAUUUACUGGGCGUAAAGGAUGUGUAGGCGGAUACUUAGGUGAGAUGUGAAAGCCCCGGGCUCAACCUGGGGACUGCAUUUCAAACUGGGUAUCUAGAGUGCAGGAGAGGAAAGCGGAAUUCCUAGUGUAGCGGUGAAAUGCGUAGAGAUUAGGAAGAACAGCAGUGGCGAAGGCGGCUUUCUGGACUGUAACUGACGCUGAGGCAUGAAAGCGUGGGGAGCAAAC